rnacentral:miRNA from 1 species
CUGCUAAGCCAUCUCUCCAGCCCCUAGAAAAUAUAUUUUUAAAAAAGUUUUUUAAAAGGCUGGAGAGAUGGCUGAGCAGU